rnacentral:lncRNA from 1 species
GUAAUACCCGAUUUUAAGGACAAAACCAGAUAUGCACCAUAUGUGAAUUUUAGAAGUCAAAUCUCACAUAUAGCUACAAAUAAGGGUUAAUAUCAAAGAACAAUGCAUAAAUAUAUAACGUACAUAAUAUUAAAGAGAUAACCUUUAAUAGCAAACAACGGAUAGACAACUUUAAACUUCGGGUAUUAACUCCUCUCCACAGGAUCCAACUGACUGGUUGAUCACAAGCCCAAAACUUCUCCUGAGGUGUGGGGGGAAAUUGCAAGAGUGAGCACAUAUCGUACUCAACAAGUAUAACCAGGGGUUCAUGAGGCUCAAAUAGCUGACACUGGUUUGACUGCAUUUCGCUUUUAGUAGUUGAUAGCAUGUUUAAUCAUUGGAUAGCAAAUAUCAAGGUAGCAUAAAUAAUCCCAUAACCACAUGAUCAAUGUAUACAAGAAUUAAGAAUAACACAUAUAAACAACAUAAUAAACCAUCAUUUAUUAUCAUUAUUCACAUUCAUCAGUGUCCAUCUAUUCCGUCAGUUUUCCGGGCCGCCCGUAUCCGUGGGCACGGCUAGUAUACCAGAUUUAACACUCUGCAGAGGUUGUACAUCUUUACCCAUGAGUCGUGAUUUACCCUUUCA